UCAAGAUUCCUGGGUGCCAGGACGAUCACUCCCUUCCCCUGAUGGCCUUGAACGUUCCAGGCAGGCAGCCAAGCAGGUGUUGUUGACAACCCUGCCACAGCACAGGGGAGCCGGACAGCACCCAGAGCACUGGCCAGAAAAUCCAGCAGUUACAAGCCCGAAGUGGGAACCUGGACCAGAAAUGUGACCUCAACCCCUCACUGGUGGCAAGGGACACCUCUGUCAUCAUCUGCUUCCUCUGAGGACUGAGACAAUAUGAAAUACCACUGCAAAGAACUCUCAAUUUCCCUUCUGUGCUUUAAUGCAGCCAUGGUGAUGACUCCAUUUUCAAUGACAAAAUUACUCGAGAAUUCUCCAAGCAGAAUACUUAUCUUCUGCCCUACAGACAGGGAGAGACUACUGAAGUGUCUGUCUGACCUCUUCCAAGAGAAUCCAGCACACGACAGCUACAAACAGAAGAGCUCUUCUGCAGGACAGGAUCUAUGGCCUGGCUCCAGUUGGAACGGACAAAAUGCAUGGAGCACGUGCAGCUGGAGGCACCUCAUGUUAGAUGGUGAGCUAAGAGCCAUUUUGAAGAGCCCUCUGAGCACAGGUGAGCUGUCCUGCACAGAGCCCUCCCAGCACAGGUGAGCUGUCCCACUGAGUCAGUCCAAGGCCACAAGGCUCCCAAGGAAAUCCCAGCCUCAAUCAAGCAUUACCAUGCACACACCCACCUAAACCUGCCUGCCUUUGCAUGAUGGAUGCAAGCAGGUGUAUCUGACAAACAUGGUGCUCACAAACACAUUCUUCAGUCUAGACACUUCUUUGCUCUGUCCUAGGCUCAAAUCAGUUAGCCACAUUAACACUAUGUAAAUCAUGGGUUUAAGAUACUAAGCAUUAUGAUUUGGCAAUCAGGAAUGUUUUUGCUUCAGUGAACUCCAAGAGAAACAUAACAGCAACGAACUUGGGAAUAAAAAGCUGUAGCUUUAUAAAAGAAUGACAAAAUGCAAUUUUUUAUUGGAACUUAAGAUCUUAACUAGGAAUUUUGCUUCCUGAGACAGCUAGGGAAGUUCUGAGUUACACGGCCACCAAAAAUUAUUUUAAAAAUUGUUUCUUAGUCCGCCUGGCAUUUUUGACUUUUGAGGUAUGUGUAACUCUUCUUGAUGUAGUGUCAUUUUGCAAACACUUCUUGAUAAGCUUUGAGGAGCAAAGUGAAAUAUGAUCUUUGCCACAACUGCUAGUAACAAUCUUUCAAGUGAGAAUUGUAAAAUUGACCAUUAGGACAGUUUUAUGCUGUUCUUCAGAACACCUAUGAGAAAGUAGGGGAUUUUAUUGAUACUAAGUUGAGUAGAUCUGCCAGCUUCAGAGGAAAGGACACUGCAGCAGACUUCUUCACUCUGCACCCAGUAGAGCCAAAGGUAAACAUUUUACUUAACAGCAGUCAAAUAUUAGGACUAAAGUGUAUUGGGAAAAAAAAAGACAGAAGCUAAUAGCCCUUACUGGCCUCUUGCUAGUAAAGCCAUGAACCAGCCUUCUCAGAUUUCACUUGGUAAACACUUAAUAAGGAAGACAUCAUUUUAAUUUAGAGCAAUUCCUUUUCCAAAUAGCAUAAACUAUAUAAAACAGCAAAAUAAUCCUGUUUUAUCACCAGAUCUGUAGUGAUUUGGCUGUUUGCAUGUCAAUAUGGUUGAAAAGAGAGUUAUAAAUGUGCAUAUUGAGCAUGGGAUACAUGUACAAUGUAAGGAUAGGAUAAUUACUCUAAGUUGUAGUCUCCUAAGUUUUGUCAGUGUAGCAGCUUCCAAAGUUUACAGUGCUCUUAUAAGAAACACAAAAUGGUAUCCACAGCUGAAGUCUUUAACUAGUGAACUUCCUUCGAGGUUAAGUACAGAUUAGUGUUUUUCUUGGGGGGGCUCAGGUCAGGCCUAGCAGAGAACCCUAAUGGGGCAGAAGGAAAAAAAAAGAAAAUGUUUCUUUCACCAACCCAAAAUUUUGCUCACAACUCACUUAAAGGAGUUGCACAUAGGAAGGUUUGAGGAACUCUUUAUACAACAUCUGCCUACUGCAAAUCCAUACCCCUGUACUAUCCCCAUUGUUUACACAUUAAUGAUAUCAUCCUAUUCCCCAUCCCAUCAUCACUCCCCCCUCAAUUUCUCUCUUUAUUCAACUGCUUGACAUCUAAGCCUCUAUAAUUCAUCUGUUAUGGAAGAGGGCACUAUCACCUCUAUCUUCUCAAAACAAUGUCCUCACCAUUAGAAGAAAUAUAAACAACUGAAUGAAAGAUUGUACAUCUUGGGAAAAAAAGCCAGCAACUGCUGUCAGCUAAAUGUUACUGCAACACAGCCACCUCCAGCGAAAAUCAACUGCUAUAACUGAUCUGGUUAUGUAGGUCAACAAAGUUACUAAUUCAAAGAUAAAGUGAGUCACAGUCAUGUUAACAUACACUCUUAAUACACUUUACAAAAGCCAAUGCUUCACAAAAGACAUAUUUCUGAAAGGUCAGAAUGUUCUCAUCCAUAUUUUGAAAGAACGUGCAAAAUAUGCAUGAAUACUAUGAGCUGUUGUUCACCCUCAAGCUCCCAAUACCAGAUACAAACACAGCUGUAGCUGUCAGGGCUUCAACCAUCAAUAAAAACCACCAGAUUUUUAAAUAUGUGAGACCUCAAGAAUUUUAAAAGAGGAAGCUUGGUGGCUUAUACACUAUUAUGUAAUUAAAGUGAAACACAAAAUGUUCUUACAGCCUUUCCCACCUAAUGAAUUCCAUAGGUGAUUCUAUACUGUGGAUGAGUGCACAAGACAGGUGACCAGAUGUUCACUCUAUCAAAUGAGCCAAGAUCACUUCUUUGCCUAUCAAUCCUUGCACGUCAGAAAUAAUCAUCCUGUCUAACAAGGUUUGUUUCUGUUCCCUCCCUGCCCCAAGACAGUCCUUUUAUCCAAAAAAAGUAAGUGCAAAAACACUUAAAUUGCUCUGACAACAAGAACUAUGGAUUUGUGAACAAGAAAAAGUAAUUUCUGGUUUUAAGAGGGCAAAGCAUUCUAACUACUUAAAUAUUAGUUUUCCUGAAAAAGGUUUUUACUAAGUAUACAGCAUUAAUAUACCUUUGGAAUUUUCUAAAAGUUACAACAAAGACAAUGUAAGACUUUAUUCUGCACCUGAAAACCUAGGUUUCCUUUAAUAGUUUAUAAUACAAAUACCAUGACAAACCCAGAUCUACACAAUGAGCAGUCAAUUCUUAUCUUUUUGGUCAAAUCUUUGUUUCUGAAAUAACUGCACUAGAAUCAAAUGAUUCUAAUUAUAGCAAACUCUUACCUCCAGCAUUAUGUCCUCUCCUGGAGAAGUACUUGGGUAUCAGGAAUUAAGGGUCUUGUUUAAUCAGCUAAAACAACCAGGCCUUGCUUAUGAUUUAAUAAAGUCAGUUCAAGCCAUGGAAGAGCUUACUCAAACAACAUGAAAAUUCCAUGAAUGCAUGCUCAGCCCUAAUCACAGAAACACAGACACUUAAAAAAGUACAGACCCUUGACACCUGCCCAUUGCAACAGUGACAAGCCUCUGAAGAUCCUGGCCUACAUUUCUGAAAGAACGCUACUUCCUUGUUUAUCAGGCAAAAAACACCUAAAAAUGGUGAUUUUUUUUUUUUUUUUUAACAUGGGUUAAGAGAACACUAACUUCGCAAACAAAACAAAUGACGUCAUAACAAACCCUAUUACGCACAGAAAUAGAAACUCAUUUCCCUAAGGGGAAAAUUUGUGACAAAUUUGUGACAAAACCCCAGAGAGUGCUGCGGCUGCCCGCAGUGAAGACACUGCUUUGUGCGUCAAUGAGGCGCUGAAUAAAAAAGGAAAAAUACAUUCUGCGUGAAGUUCCCACCCGCCGCACAGCCCCGCCGGUCACCGCUGCCGUCAGGGCGCAGGGCGGG